AUACCGUGUGGGCAGAGGGUCGCACUGGGAGCCUGGGGCCCCUAACCAACCCUCACCUCCACCCCCACCCCGUGCCAUCCCUGUAGCACCACUACGUGCCCUGCAGCCUCAAUUCUAAGCCGCUGGUCGUCCUGCACCUGGUCCUGGAGAUGGGCUUCUCGCGGGUUCUCUGCUUCACUAACUCCCGAGAGAACUCCCACAGGUGAGGCCCCGGCUGGGCAGGGGCGGCAGAGGCAGCCUCUGGUCCCAGCAUUACUUGGCUGCAGCCUUCUCUCUGCCUAGGCUCUUCCUGCUGGUGCAAGCUUUUGGGGGUGUGGACGUGGCUGAGUUCUCCUCGCGCUACGGGCCUGGCCAGAGGAGAAUGAUCCUGAAGCAGUUUGAACAAGGGAAGAUCCAGCUGCUCAUCAGCACGGAUGCCACCGCCCGAGGCAUCGAUGUGCAGGGUGUGGAGCUGGUGGUGAACUACGACGCCCCCCAGUACCUGAGAACUUACGUGCACCGGGUUGGGAGGACGGCCCGUGCUGGGAAAACUGGACAGGCCUUCACACUGCUCCUGAAAGUGCAGGAGAGGAGAUUCCUCCGGAUGCUGACUGAAGCGGGGGCACCUGAGUUGCAGCGGCACGAGCUCUCCAGCAAGCUGCUGCAGCCGCUGGUUCCUCGGUACGAGGAGGCCCUGUCCCAGCUGGAGGAGUCCGUCAAGGAAGAGCACAAGCAGAGGGCGGCCUAGGCUGGGGCUCAGAGGGCCGGAGGGACUGAGCGCUCACCCCCCUGACCCUCCUUCCAGAGCAGAGCUGACCACUGGAUGCUGCAUGUGAGGAAAGGAAUCCCCCAGUGGACACAGCCUUCCUCCCCAAGCACGUGGUCUCUGCGCCAGGCAGCCCGGGCG
rnacentral:sRNA from 1 species